UGAUAAGAUAAUUAUCUAAUAAAGGUAAAUGAAUCAAUAAACCAUGAUGAAUUAUUAGUCAUACAGCAUGGUUAAUGAAUAAUCAAUGUAAUGAUCAAUGUAGGGAUCGAUUGGUCUGAUUAGUUCCGGAAAGUCCACUGGAGAGGGAAAGAAAUGUGUGUAUGCAAUUAGUAUAGAGAGAUAGAGAAGCAGAUGGUCAAGGGAGUAAAACUUCAGAGAGUUCCUAACCUUGAAGGAAAGGAACAGGGUGAGCCAGAAGGUGAUAAACAGUGUUAGAAGUUUGUGGGGGUUGCAGGUCACCAACAGAUUGUGUGUAAAUGCAUGUGCGUAAGUAAGCAAGAACUAUAUAAUGACUGUUUUGUUAUCCUGACGGCAGAACGUUCUCUGAAUAAAGCUACAGAAACCUUUUGCAGAAAGCUGAGUCCUUGCCUAAUUAUUUUAACCCAUUGUCUUACAAACCUUGGGCAUUAGUCAAGGCGAAUUGAUUAUUGAUUAUUAUCAUCAAGAUAUAAAAUUCUUAUAACAAUUGGUCCUAUUCGAGCCGGAUCUCAAACUGCCGCUGUCGUUCCAAGGAGACACGGAAACCGUGCACGGGCGGAUGAAAUAUCCGUAAAUCAAAGACCUGGCCCUUUUCUGUGGGUUCUUUACAGGCCGGUGGCAAACUGGUACGCGACAGAGGUGGUGACGAGAUUCAACGAACAUUGAAAAACUCAGCUGCAAAUGAUAAGGUUAGUAGACUUUAUUCAUACUUUUGGGGAAUAGCACCUGUAUGAUUACAUUAAAUAAGGAGUGAGUGAUAAACCUAUAGGUCUGCAUAACAUAGUGAAAUGAGUGAUACACCUGUGAGUCUGCAUUGCAUGGUGAAAUGAGUGAAGUACCUAUAGGUCUGCAUUACAUGAUGAAAUGAGAAAUACACUUGUAUGUCUGCAUUGCAUGAUGGAAUAAGGGACACAAUUGGGUGUUGGCAUUUGAUGAGAAAGCGAUUGUUGUGAGUGAAAGGCGAGAGCAAGUAGAGGAUUUUAAUCUACUCUGGGUGUUAGACGCUGAAAUUGGUGAAUGUUAUAGCUGGUGACCUGGCUUCAGAAGUUCGCGUGGAGAAAAAUCGGUUUUAAAGGGAAUCAAGUAUUCUGCGCGAAUGGAAGGCAGGAGGUAGUUGUAAAUUCAAAACGACGAAUUCGAAAACGAGACAGGGUCCGAAAUCGACCCUGAGCAACUGUGGCCACUGCAUAAAACUAAACUAGGGCUUGUGGUGAGACCUGAUAACGUAGCACAAGGGUAAAAAAACCAUAAGGGGAUAGUCGGUACCUAAAUAAAGGAUUUAGGUCUGAUAUCUAUGGGUGAAGUGAGACCUAAUAUGGCGGAGUGAGAAACAGAUAUUAGUGUCAAGAGUUACAUGAAGCAACAGAUAAAUAGGCUGUUAACUAGGGCUUUACGACCCCUGGAAAAGAGUUUAUAGUUGUAUACGUAUGAGACCUAAUGUCCGAUCAAUAUCCCCUCUAUAGAUAAAGUUUCGAGAGAGAUAGAGUAUCUUUGCUGGGAUGAGGGAUUGCGUGUGAGGAGAAUUCUGUCAACAAUCACGAAUGAGAUGAAGGCAGGGUGUUUGGAUAGAUACGUAUAAUCAUUCUAGCAGAAUAACUAUAUUGUGAGAAGGAAAAUUAAUGGGUGUUGAUACAUAUAGAAAACAUAUUGUUAAAAUCAACAGUCGCGAAAACAGCUGGUUUGUUCUUUUAAGCUGGAGAUAGAAACAAUGUGUAAUAUAGCAUGCAAAUAAUUAUUCUCCAAAUUCUAGGUUAAUAACGGUAAAUAGCAUACACAUAAAGAUUAACAGCGAGUAGACACUGAUUGUAUUUGGUUCAGAGUUGUAUAAAUUAAAGCACAUAGAAUAAAAGAUAGUUUAAGGUUCUUACGAAUAAUAUUUCAAAAAUUCUAGAUUGGGAGAAGAAGCAGAAUAAAUACGAGUGUACUUUAACAACAUGGGUAGUAAAUCCUCUAAGGAGAUCCCGGUAUUGACGGGAGAUGAACGGUUUAUGUUGGGGAAAGAUAAGAGGAACAUUUAUUUUGGCCCGAAAUGGAGGAAGAAAUACGAUUUUGAUGGAUGGUUAAAUGUUGAAAGAUUGGAAUUAAUGGUAAAACAAAUACAUAGGGUCAGUGGGGGUAAGAUAGAGAAGCAGCGCACAGAGGGCUUUGACACUGCUCGGGUUUGGCUGGCAGAAGCUAGAAAGAGAGUGGAGGGGGCCAAGAGUAAGGGAGUUACUAAAAAUGAAUGUUUGGGUAGCCAGGAGCAGACAGAGAGGACUCCCACGGCUCCCACAGAGACACCAUCUAAACCCGAAUUAUACCCCUCCCUGGCUGACCAGGGGUGGCAGGAGAACCCAGAUGACGAGGUGGUGGUAGUGAGACGGAGGCAACCACAUCAAGUGCCGCCCGUACCAAUACCCCCUCCCCCAUAUGCUGGUCCUCAGGGAGCCGAGGGAGGUAGAGAGGAAGAGACACAGGGAGGAGGACAGGAUUUAGCCACUUUAUUGAAAAAGUGGAUAGAAAUGGAGGGAGAGAGAAAGAUGAGAACUAGGGGAAGAGAGCGUGUUAGUGGUGCUGCACAACCCAGAGCCCUCAGUAGACUCGUUUCCCAUAACCAAAGUCCGGAUAGAGAUAGACAAGAGGGAAGUGAGAAUGAUUCGGAAGGGAUAGAAGAGAAGGAGAGGGCAGUCAGACAGUACCCUCUGAUAGCCUUACCUAACCCCCGAGCUGUGGAGGAAGGACAGGGGCCGACGCUGGAGCUAUAUAGAGCAUGGACUCAGAGAGAUGUAGCCAGGGCAGUAGAAGGGGUAGGACAUCCCAAGACAGGUAUGGAUGGGUUCAAGAGAGAUUUGGAGGCUCUGGCAGCCAGCUUUAAACUAAACACGGGUGAAGUAGAGAGAGCAGUUAGACAGCUGGUGGGAAAAGAUUGGGCAGCAGUUAGGGGAAAUUGGGUACCAGGAAAUGGGGAUUUGAUAGUAGUGCCCUGGGCGAUAGAUGGACAAUAUGUCGAGAAAAUCACACAGCUAUGUAAUAAUCUGAGGGACCACUAUCACCGACAUGCAGAUUUCUCUAAGGUUCACGAGUGUAAACAAGAAGACAGUGAGACUAUAAGCCAAUACCUAGAGAGAUUAAAGGACGUGUUCAACGCAAACAGUGGGUUAAUAGAACCCCCGAUAGUGGAUGGAUUUCCUCAGUGGAUUUCCUCAGUGGAAUGCGUCCCGAGAUAAGUCGCGCCAUUAAACAGAACCUCGUAAGGUGGGGGCUAGCAGAUCUGAGGGAAGUAAAGAGAUAUGCUGUACACUAUGAGCAACUUGGCAAAGGUGAGAAAGCGAAGAAGGAAAGGAAAGGAGCAGAAUAUCUGAUGGCCACUCUAGGAGAGAUUGCAGGGAAUGGCAGAGGUGACAAAAGAGAACAGAAUAACAGGGAUGGAGAGAAGCAGUGUUUCAAUUGUCACAAGCUAGAACACCUUGCUAGACAGUGUAAAGCACAGUGUAACCGCUGCAGGGAGGGAAACCAUUCUGGUAGAGAUUGUAACAAAAACAGAGACAAGCAAGGCCAGAGAGGGAGUAGAGACAGAUACAAAGAAAAGAAGGUCAGGCGGCCCCAGCCAGACUCAGAGGAGGAGGAGGAUGGGGCAGGAGUAACUAUGGAGAGCGGGGGAACAGACACUAGUGAGGGGAAGGACGAUUUUCAGAAUUUAGUUAUAAACAGGGAUUGUGAAGUUUUUGAAUUGGCUACAAUUGAUUUGGCAUUACAACAAGAACAGAAACCCUAUUUGACACUAACAGUAAUGGGAGAGAGAAUCAAAUUUCUGUGUGAUACUGGGGCGUGUCUUGUUUUCUGAGUUUUAAUAAACACAUGAAAUUCUUUUGAUAGGGAAUGUUCUGGGAACCUGGGAUACAAAAUGUAGAUAAAGUUCUUAGCUUUAAUUUGUUUAAUGUAGUAAGAAACACGGUUCUGAAAGGGUGGUAUGACUUUUGAUCCCUCUGGUGACUUUUCCUGUGUGGUCUGAUCAGCCACAUUGAAAAGCCAUUUGGAUGGUGAAAUUAAGGUCAUUGGUGAUAUUGAUUUUAAGGGAAUUUGGAGAACUGAUAAUGAUGGAGUUAAAGUUCUUAGACACAAUUGAUAAUUUGAACCAAUGAGAGGACUAUAAGGGCAAAGCCUUAGACUAAGGGUAGGCUUCCUUAAGUCUAUUUUCCUAGAACAAUAAGGGUAAAAUAAUUUUUCUUGGUGGAGUAAAUCAGAUUAGUCAUUUUGAUCUGAUUAUGUGAUUUGAAAAUAUUUUGACCAGUAGCAGGGGUAUUUUUUACAUGAUCUAGAUAUGUUUAUUUUCCCUUAGGAAGUCAGCUGUUGUUGGAUUCAGUGUAAGAGAGAACACAACAAGGCUGUGGAAUUUAAUAGUAUUACUAUAUUUUGUUGUGAAUAAGUUUAAUAAUGGUAGACUUAUGUCAACAGGACAGGGAUAUAUGACAUCUGUAGGUGAUCCAGGAUUAUUGAGGGUAUCGAGAUAAAUUUAAGUAGAUAUGCAAUAUCUAGACAGGUUGAUUUUUCUAAAGUUCAGGAGUGCAACCAAGGAGACAAUGAGACAUUUAGUCAAUAUUUGGAAACAACCCAGAUUUGAUACUUUCUGUUAUAAAAAAAAAGAAAGAAAAAAAAAAGCUGGAGACAGAUAGAAGGGCAGACGGAGAAAUCCUCCCCUGCACUGCUGAAACCUUGAGGGUUGGGGAGUAGCAGGAAGAAAGGAGGGGGGCCAUCAGGAGUAGAUAGGAAGAGAAUUUGGUUCACUAAGCUCUACGAUAUUAAUUCAUGGAGAGACUAUCAGCUCAAUUGGCAGGCAUGUAUUUUAGUUUUGAUUUUAAGUUUAUGUUUGGUAAAUUCGCUAGGAGGAGAUUAGUAUAAUUUUGUUGAAAGUAAUUGUUACCCUAACUAAAAGGGCAAUGAAAGCUUAGUUGGUUUCAGGUGUUAGACACUGAACCAUUGCCCAGACACUAUUCUGCACAGUAGGCCGAAAUAGUAGCAUUGACUAGAACCGGUGAAAUAAGAAAGGAGAGAAAGUUACUAUUUACACAGACAAGCACAUAGACAUUUAAAACCAUACAAAACAGCACAGAUAAAUCUUAAAGAAGAUAAAACACUUGACAGAGAAUUGUUACAGAAUAGCCGAGGAUGAAGGCCCCAGGGAGAAUUGGACAUGUGGAAAAUGAAAGGGGGCAUCCUACAAGAGAAGGUCUGAAAUAAGGAUAAUUUACUUAUCCUACCAAAGACAUUGUAUGGAUACGCAGCAAUAUUGAUACAUAGGCUAAGCAAUGUAUCAAGGGGAGGGAAGUAUAGUAGAGUAGUUAGGAAAGAGUGAUGGCCUAGAGGAUAAUUACUUAAACCAUUUUUUUUGUAAGAUAUCCAUUCCAACAGUUGGAAAUGGACCUUAUUGAGAUAUUCUGAAUUAAGGGGAAGAAGGGGUGUUUAACAAGAAUAGAUAAGUAUAGCAAAUGGGUAGAAGCGUUCCCAACUUACUUGGUGGACAUGAUUAUGGUAGCUAAAAUAUUAAGUCAAGAUAUUAUCCCUAGAGUUGGUUUACUAGGAGCUAUCUCUUUAAAUGAUGGAUGACAGUUUAGCUAAUCGGGUUGAAUAAAUAGAAUGAAGACUGUUUGUUAACCAAACCCGUAUGUCCAAGAUUUUGUGUCCAACAGGUGAAUUACAGGAGAAGGUGAUUCACUCCGUACAACCAGGAGACUGGGUGUGGAUCCAGUCCCUGAGGAGAAAAAACUGGAAGCAACACCGUUGGGAAAGCCCAUACCAGGUUCUGUUAAACCACUGCCUUUGCCAUUAGAAAAGCUGAGAGUCACUUGGGUCCACGUUAUCCACUGCAAGAAGGUAUGUACACAUAUGAGCACUGCUGAACACACACAGAGUUAGGAGAAGAACCGAGUACCAACAGGGCCCGGGGGUUACCUCCUUAACGAAGAUUUCCUAUCCCGACCGUUCAUCACUGUGUGUGCUCCUAGAGGUGUGAGUAUGGGGUGGUACCUAGCAGAGAGACUAAGGGCAGGAGAGGGUUGGUGGUUUUUGGGAAGAGUAGAGACUCUGAGCUGCAUCAUAGUCUAAUCUUUCUGAUACAUUCAGAUCCACCACCUUCUGGUACUAAUCAUACGAUACCGUUGUCAUUGAGAAGAAGUAGAAGAUAAACUACACUGCUCAAAAAAAUAAAGGGAACACUUAAACAACACAAUGUAACUCCAAGUCAAUCACACUUCUGUGAAAUCAAACUGUCCACUUAGGAAGCAACACUGAUUGACAAUACAUUUCACAUGCUGUUGUGCAAAUGGAAUAGACAACAGGUGGAAAUUAUAGGCAAUUAGCAAGACACCCCCAAUAAAGGAGUGGUUCUGCAGGUGGGGACCACAGAUCACUUCUCAGUUCCUAUGCUUCCUGGCUGAUGUUUUGGUCACUUUUGAAUGCUGGCGGUGCUUUCACUCUAGUGGUAGCAUGAGACGGAGUCUACAACCCACACAAGUGGCUCAAGUAGUGCAGCUCAUCCAGGAUGGCACAUCAAUGCGAGCUGUCGCAAGAAGGUUUGCUGUGUCUGUCAGCGUAUUGUCCAGAGCAUGGAGGCGCUACCAGGAGACAAGCCAGUACAUCAGGAGACGUGGAGGAGGCUGUAGGAGGGCAACAACCCAGCAGCAGGACCGCUACCUCCGCCUUUGUGCAAGGAGGAGCAGGAGAAGUACUGCCAGAGCCCUGCAAAAUGACCUCCAGCAGGCCACAAAUGUGCAUGUGUCUGCUCAAACGGUCAGAAACAGACUCCAUGAGUGUGGUAUGAGGGCCCGAUGUCCACAGGUGGGGGUUGUGCUUACAGCCCUACACCGUGCAGGACGUUUGGCAUUUGCCAGAGAACACCAAGAUUGGCAAAUUCGCCACUGGCGCCCUGUGCUCUUCACAGAUGAAAGCAGGUUCACACUGAACACGUGACAGACGUGACAGAGUCUGGAGACGCCGUGGAGAACGUUCUGCUGCCUGCAACAUCCUCCAGCAUGACCGGUUUGGCGGUGUGUCAGUCAUGGUGUAGGGUGGCAUUUCUUUGGGGGGCCGCACAGCCCUCCAUGUGCUCGCCAGAGGUAGCCUGACUGCCAUUAGGUACCGAGAUGAGAUCCUCAGACCCCUUGUGAGACCAUAUGCUGGUGCGGUUGGCCCUGGGUUCCUCCUAAUGCAAGACAAUGCUAGACCUCAUGUGGCUGGAGUGUGUCAGCAGUUCCUGCAAGAGGAAGGCAUUGAUGCUAUGGACUGGCCCGCCUGUUCCCCAGACCUGAAUCCAAUUGAGCACAUCUGGGACAUCAUGUCUCGCUCCAUCCACCAAUGCCACGUUGCACCACAGACUGUCCAGGAGUUGGCGGAUGCUUUAGUCAAGGUCUGGGAGGAGAUCCCUCAGGAGACCAUCCGCCACCUCAUCAGGAGCAUGCCGAGGCGUUGUAGGGAGGUCAUACAGGCACGUGGAGGCCACACACACUACUGAGCCUCAUUAUGACUUGUUUUAAGGACAUUACAUCAAAGUUGGGUCAGCCUGUAGUGUGGUUUUCCACUUUAAUUUUGAGUGUGACUCCAAAUCCAGACCUCCAUGGGUUGAUAAAUUGGAUUUCCAUUUAUUAUUUUUGUGUGAUUUUGUUGUCAGCACAUUCAACUAUGUAAAGAAAAAAGUAUUUAAUAAGAUUAUUUCUUUCAUUCAGAUCUAGGAUGUGUUGUUUAAGUGUUCCCUUUAUUUUUUUGAGCAGUAUAUAUAAUACACUGAUGAGUGACUUACAGAAUAAAGAGUCAAAGAAGAUCAAGAUGUAGGAUUUAAGGUAAACAUUAAACAAUUUCCUGGGAAAGCAGACAACUGUACAGGAAUUGGGGUUGGCCAGAUUGAAGUACUCAGCCAACCCACCUCGGUUCACCUUAACUCCUGAUGAGUACCAGUGUUAUAGAUAUAAGAAUGGCACUGAGAACUUAGAUGACUUUAAUGGCUGAAAGUAAUCGUGAAUGUGACUGACUUAGGUGAAAGCACAGGAGAAAAUGUUUAACCUCAUAGCAGCUAUAACUGAUGGAGGGUGGGCCAGUACCAGCAAAGGACGCAUACAACAGAAAUUACCACAAAGGGUGGUUAGGAGCUUGCGCCCUGGAGUUAUAGGUCCAACCAGUUCAAGUUAGUCAUCAGAGGCCAGUUAUAGGAGGCUAAAGUAGGCACAGGAGGAGUUUUGACCAGGAUGGGAGUAGCUUUGUCUAGAUGGAUGCUAUUGGCAUCUUCAGGGAAGUUCCAGAUGAAUACAAAGCUAUGAAUCAAAUAUGUGAAGGAUUUAACACUACAUUAUUUUGGUGGUUAACAAUAAAUAAAAAUGUGGAUUGGAUUAAUGACAUAUUUUAUAAUCAACAGAGAUUCAUGAAUGAAAACGGGGAUGCAGUAAAGAGGUUCUCUGACCAGUUAUCCGCCACCCCCCUCAUGACCUGGUAAAAUAGACUGACUCUCGAUAUGUUAUUGGCAGAAGAGGGCAGUGUAGGUAGAAUGAUUAGGUUCAUUGCUGUACGUACAUUCCUGAUAACACAUCCCAUGUUUGGGAAAUGGAAAAGUGUUGUAAGAACUGUAUUAUGGGCUGCUUUCACCUGUAUGAGUGUGUUUGUGUUGUGUGGAUGUUGUCUCGUCCCAUGUGUGAGAGGUUUAAUCACCAGGACUCUAGAGAGAUCGAUGACGCAGCAGAUGGUGAGAUAUGGACCGAUUCCGAGCUCCGAUCAGUGGGAUGGCGAAUGCGGGCCUCCAGGCCAGGAAGAUGGCUCCGUCUCUUUCAAUAACGAGGAGCCAAUGUUUGAUAAAACAAUUUUCAACAUUUAGAUUCACUGUUCCUUUAAUGAAAAUUAUGAUGAAAAUCCUAAACAGAAGUGUCAUAAUUGGAAAUAGGCCCAGGACAGUCAUUGAGGAGUAAGAGGAAGAUUCAUGUAUUGGUCUUGUUUAAUCCUUGUAUCACAAUUAAUUUCCAUAUAGCGUGUGAUUAUUUGUAUUUCCAUAAAGUGAUUAUUUGUAUUUCCAUAAAGUGAUUAUUUGUAUUUCCAUAAAGUGAUUAUUUGUAUUUCCAUAUAGCGAUUAUUUGUAUUUCCAUAUAGCGUAUAAUUAUGUGUGAUUACAUAUAGAAUGUGAUUAGUAGGGUUCUCAUAUAGCAUCUGAUCAUCAUGGUGAAUUAGUGAAUCAUUUAAGGGUGGAAUUGAUAAGAGAAUUAUCUAAUAAAGGUAAAUGAAUCAAUAAACCAUGAUGAAUUAUUAGUCAUACAGCAUGGUUAAUGAAUAUUCAAUGUAAUGAUCAAUGUAGGGAUCGAUUGGUCUGAUUAGUUCCGGAAAGUCCACUGGAGAGGGAAAGAAAUGUGUGUAUGCAAUUAGUAUAGAGAGAUAGAGAAGCAGAUGGUCAAGGGAGUAAAACUUCAGAGAGUUCCUAACCUUGAAGGAAAGCCAGAAGGGUGAGCCAGAAGGUGAUAAACAGUGUUAGAAGUUUAUGGGGGUUGCAGGUCACCAACAGAUUGUGUGUAAAUGCAUGUGCGUAAGUAAGCAAGAACUAUAUAAUGACUGUUUUGUUAGCCUGACGGCAGAACGUUCUCUGAAUAAAGCUACAGAAACCUUUUGCCGAAAACUGAGUCCUUGCCUAAUUAUUUUAACCCAUUGUCUUACAAACCUUGGGCAUUAGUCAAGGCGAAUUGAUUAUUGAUUAUUAUCAUCAAGAUAUAAAAUUCUUAUAACACCCGUCCAUACCCUUACCCGGACGACACUGGGCCAAUUGUGCGCCGCCCUAUAGGACUCCCAAUCACGGCCGGUUGUGAUACAGCCUGGAAUCGAACCAGGGUAUAUAGUGACGCGUCUAGCACUGAGAUGUAGUGCCUUAGACCACUGCGCCUCUCGGGAGCCCAAAGAAACUUCAAAAGUUCUUGACAUUUUCUGGAUUGACUGACCUUCAUGUCAUCAAGUAAUGAUGGACUGUCAUUUCUCUUUGCUUAUUUGAGCCGUUCCUGCCAUAAUAUGGACUUGGAUCUUUUACCAAAUAGGGAUAUCUUCUGUAUACCAUCCCUACCAUGUCACAACACAACUGAUUGGCUGAAACGCAUUAAGAAGGAAAGAAAUUCCACAAAUUAACUUUUAACAAGG
rnacentral:lncRNA from 1 species